AUUGAACGCUGGCGGCAUGCUUUACACAUGCAAGUCGAACGGCAGCGCGGGCUUCGGCCUGGCGGCGAGUGGCGAACGGGUGAGUAAUGCAUCGGAACGUGCCCAGUAGUGGGGGAUAGCCCGGCGAAAGCCGGAUUAAUACCGCAUACGACCUGAGGGUGAAAGCGGGGGACCGAAAGGCCUCGCGCUAUUGGAGCGGCCGAUGUCGGAUUAGCUAGUUGGUGGGAUAAAGGCUUACCAAGGCGACGAUCCGUAGCUGGUCUGAGAGGACGACCAGCCACACUGGGACUGAGACACGGCCCAGACUCCUACGGGAGGCAGCAGUGGGGAAUUUUGGACAAUGGGGGCAACCCUGAUCCAGCCAUGCCGCGUGCGGGAAGAAGGCCUUCGGGUUGUAAACCGCUUUUGUUCGGGAAGAAAUCCUCUGGGCUAAUACCCCGGGGGGAUGACGGUACCGGAAGAAUAAGCACCGGCUAACUACGU
rnacentral:rRNA from 1 species